rnacentral:tRNA from 1 species
CCCUGGGUAGUGUAAAUGGUUAACAUGCUUGGCUGCUAACCAAAAGAUUGGUGGUUCAAGUCCACCCAGAGGAG